UACGUAGGUGGCAAGCGUUGUCCGGAUUUACUGGGCGUAAAGAGCGCGCAGGCGGUCGUGCAAGUCACGUGUGAAAGCCCCCGGCUCAACUGGGGAGGGUCACGCGAUACUGCUCGACUCGAAGGCAGGAGAGGGAAGUGGAAUUCCCGGUGUAGUGGUGAAAUGCGUAGAUAUCGGGAGGAACACCAGUGGCGAAGGCGACUUCCUGGCCUGUUCUUGACGCUGAGGCGCGAAAGCUAGGGUAGCAAACGGG
rnacentral:rRNA from 1 species